ensembl:lincRNA
CUUAUUUUGUAGGUCACAAUACUUGGCACAGCAAGGUUGAGAGCCUUUCCCAUGGUUGCACAGCUGCCGAGUGGCGUUGUUGAUGUGUGAAUGCAAGGAGUCUGGCUGGAGUCUGUGCUCUUACACAGGACACUAAGCAGUGUCUCAUGCCUGUGGGGCUGGGAGGAUGGUUUGGAAGUUGAUCUGGAGGAACAGCCAAGAUGCUCAGCUACAAGAUGCAGGAGCUUGGGAAAAUGUGGCCACAGAAUGGGAAAGGACAGCCCGCCCUGGGGACGCAAGAAUUCUUCCUUGUGCUUCCGGUGGUGGGAGUCCCCUGCAGACUGGCUCUUCACAUGGCAGCUGAAAUGCAAAGCCAGUGCCAUGAAACCAGAGUGGAGAGGGGGCUUUGAGACAGCGAAGCUGUUUGAAAGCAGAGUCUUACAGGGCGUAAGAAAAAAUUAUAUCUCUUGGAUUUAUUUCUCCGGGAAGUGUUAGCUGCCCCUGGAUUUAAUGUCACCCUGGGUUCCCAGGACACAGCAACGAGUAAAACUAUUUUCACUGUCCCUGAAGUGUCCCCAUUGUACCAAGAAGCCAAUGCCUCAAAAGAAGACGCACAAAUGGCAGUUACAAACUACAGGCCUGCGAGGGAACGCUGAGCGUGUUCAUUUGAACAACAAUAAAAUCAUGCUGGAAUCACAGGUGUAUUUUACAAGCUUGGAGUUGAUUCCUCACAAGGGCAAAGUCUGACUGCUUCUCAGAUAUCAAAGCUCUGUUUCCUGCAGUGUGGUCCUUAAAAAUUUUAUGUGGUGUUUAUCAGUGACUGCAGGCUCAGACCCGCGGUCACCAAUUGCCUAAUUACUCUUGCGUGGCUUCUUUUGCUCCCGCCCUUCCGUUUGCUGCAGCCAGGAAUUAUGACCCUGAUUGUUCCAGGCUGUUUCUUGAACAUUUAUGUGUUUUCUUUCACUGAAAAUAUCACAGGGUGUCACCACCUCCCUUCUGGGGCUGGAACAGGAGAUAUUUUGUAAGCUUGUCUCAACCUCCAAAGCACAAAGGAGUGUGAGGGCUAGGGGCUCUCUCCCCAGGCGGUUUCCAUACGCUGCCCCUCACUUGAAUGCAUAGCUUUUCUUCAGGUCUUCCUCUCACAGCCACGGCGAUAAGGCGAAACCUAGCCCCAAGAUGAAUUGUCCUCCUUUGACGAGUUUCUUGAAUAUUAAACAGAAGACAUAUUUAUUCAAUCCUCAAGUAUAAUCAAAGUGACCAGCCUCUGGCUCUGGGUUUAUCUGAACCCGGAGAUAGCAGAAAUGAAUCUGUGAAUGAACUGAGAAUAAAAUUUUGUUUUCCUAGAAGGCUAUAUCUUUGCAAAGCACAGAGUGUCCGGCCCCCAGGCACAGCCGGCUUUACUGUCUCCGUGGUUGGGUACCGAGGGGCCAAGUCUUCCAGUAAGUGCGGGGGAGCUGCCCGACAGAAUGGGGGCCUGGGUGAGGGAGGCCCAAGGCAGCUUUCCAGGAACUCUUUCCACAUAUCCCCCUUCUUGCCUUGCGCUGGGGCCGAGGCUUGCUCAUCCGCAGGGCACCAAGGCCUGGCUUUGCCCGCGGCGGGCAUUUCUCCACCUGCUCAGCUCCCAUCUGUUAGGUUACGUGAGAAAAGCCAGAUCCAGCCUCACCCUGGCAACCGCCAACCAGUAACUUUGGAGUCCAAUCACUGUCCUGCCCAGGGAAAGUCUUGUGGAAACCUCUGCUCCCUUCCAAGAUGCUUUUCGUUCUUCUGCUGUCUUCUGCAAAUGAGCAGCCCGAGAAAAAUGAAUUCUUCAUCAUGGAAAUCACUUCAAGUGGCUGUGUUCUGGAAAACUUGGGAGGAGGUUUGGCUCUGACCAACUCAUCUAUCUGUUUUUCUCUUCUACCCCUACCUCACUUUAAAAAACCACUAAUUCUUACUUUUAUUUUCCUCUUCAUUUUACUUGAAACUGUGUGCCCCACAAACAGUUUAAAACAUUUACACAAUUCUAAGCAAAAGGCAAGAAAAAAAUCCACAGUCCUAGCAUAAGCAAGCCAAGACAUCUUUCGUUUUUGUCAGCUGGUGGACUUAGAGUUAUGCCCGUGUGUGACAGUACCAGCAAAGCUACAGCAGACAUCCAUCUUUGCAUCCACAUUUUUAUUUGAAUAUUAUAUGGUGAGACUUUUUUCAUGUCACCGUGUAGAAUUUACAUUCACCUUCCCAUUCUUUAUUCAGCCUGCUGGGUAAAUAGAGUUGAUUAAACCAUUUUCUCACCGUUCAUCAAUGCAAAUGUUUUUCAGCUCCCUGCUAUUGCGGUUAGAGCACUACGGUUCCCUCUCCCUCUUUUGGAUUAUUUCCUCAUGAUAAUUUUCUAAGACAUUCGCUCCUAUUUUUGCUUUGGACACAGAGGUAGGU